rnacentral:snoRNA from 1 species
AAGCCAGCCAACUGAUCUGCUUAUAUGAAUGUGUAUCUGCAGAGAGCCAGAAAAAGCAGGCAAUAGUAAGACCAUGACACAAGUCUUAAGGACAGCUAUAGUCAUUAAGAUCCCUGAGAAUGGCUAUAAUA